rnacentral:lncRNA from 1 species
GUAUGGCGCGCGCCGAAAUCAAAUACGGAGCCAGGGGGCGUAAAGGACCCGGCUUUUGCAGGCUGGGGCGUGGCUGAGGCUGGGGAGAAGCUUAGAAGGUGGCGGGGCUUCUGGAGGAAAAGAAGCUUCGAUUUGCAGGUCUUGGAAGACGGAAGGGCAACUCUUGUUUACGUUUAAAACCGAGAGGCGGCCCUAGGGGUAGCGCCAGUUAGCAGGCGCUGAAAGGCCCUGGCUUCGUGGGUGUCUCUGAGCCAGGCUGGCGCUCGUGCGCGCUGGGCUCCGCGCUCAGUCGCUGGGGUGGGAGGCCAGGGGAAGCCGCCGCUGCAGGCCGAGCCGCGAGAUUUGCAGUGCAGGAGCCGAAGCGGCGGGCAUGGUGGGAGGUCCUUGGAAGCUGCUGCGGGGAACUGAAACGGCUCUGAUAGGCAGGCACAAAGACUUCUCUAGGACCCCCUACAAUGCUUUACGUUUGCCUCGUGCUUUAGAUUUCACAAAGUGCUUACACAUAACACGACCCUCCUCACUCGACCUGGUGAGAUGGGUAGCAUUUUGUGGAAGAUUCCGAGACUCAAGUUUGAGAGACUCACCCAAGGUCAGAGUUGGCGAGUGGGCGGUCCGUGGACAGGUGCGCAGGUCUCAGCGCCAUUUGGCCCGCGCUGCUGCUUCCUGUGUGUACUGGAUGUUCUCUAGGCUCGCCCAGCGUGGAAGCCCCGAGUUACCAGCCGCAACGUGGAAACCACAGAAGGGGAAAUAGAUGACUUUUGGUUAUCCAGAUCUCUUUGAAUCUUGUUCCUGUCAACUGACUUAUUAGUGCCAUCUCCUAAUUCUGUGUCAACUUGACAAGCCUGCUGUCUUUCCCUUCAUCCAAGUUGCCAAUAAAAAUGCUCAACAAGGCAGAGUGCUUUAGCAAGACCUGGAGAGAUCUCCUACAGGUUUAUCUUUUAAAAACCGUAUACCUGUUUUACAAGGAUCUCACAAAGAUUAACAAUAUGUAUGCUAUGAAGGAUCCCAUCUGCCUCAGAGAAGAUACGCUUUUCAUCACAGACUGUAUACUUUUUACAGUUCUUAUCUAUUUAUUCUACUGCAAAAACUGCCGAUUCUACAGAGCCUAUUAAUUCCACUGGGAAAACAUGUACGGAAUGUGCUCAUGAGUAUGGGACUUCCUGUAAUUGUUGGAAAGAAGAAAAAGGCUGAUAGAAAAAACAUUUUGGCCUGGCACUCAGGAGAAAACUUCUGCUGAGGAAUGAACAGGGAAAAACAAUGAUGGACCACCUCAAGGAACAAAUCGGAUAGCUUCGACUUCCCCUCUGGAAGCCCUGCUGCGCUGGGAUGCACCUAUCCCUACUUCUUAGAUGUUCCCAUAUGUUCUCAACAGCAUUCUGUCCCUCCUAAGCAGUGUCACUAAAGCUAGCUGGUCUCUUAGGAUUGUUACCUUUAUUGAUGAUUUUCCCUUUGUGCUUCCUGGUGUCUGGCACCAAGACCACACCCCUACUUCUCCAAUGGCCCUUUCCCUCAGUAAGCUUAGCUUAUUGCUCACCUCCCACCUUCUCCCUGAACCCCAGCAGAAAGACAUGGACCUGUCAGAUGCUCCCGAUAUUUAAGUGUCUAUGCCAAAAUCUCAUGUGGACCUUGUUUGUUCAAAUGAGUUACUAUUGAGAGAGACAGCAAAGUCAUCUUCUUUAGGGAACCUGAAAAUUGUCUUCAGUCUGAAAAUUGUCUUCAGAAGGAGCAAAAGAUAGGUGAGAGGGAGAGGAUAAGAGGAGAGCCAUGUAUUCUCCUGACCAUGAGCUCGCGGUAGAUAAACCCCUGGUUACCUGAAGGCAGCACCGUGAGCACCAUCCGCUGUGACUCAUCGGAUGCUUGAUUAAUCCACUUGCUUGGGUGUCCAUGGAGCUGCCACUCUGCCACCCUACACCAGUACAUUCCUGCAUCCUCCAUCUCCACCUGAUGAAGCUUCAGGACAAAGUCUGUAGAGGAUGAACGGUAACAGUGCAGGUGCCUCCUGAGCCCCUCUUCCCCAUACUCCAGCAAGCCAUCAUGUUGCAAGUGCACCAGCAAUUUACUUCCAGAGUUUUCUCUGUUCCAGUACCACAUCACAGAGUACAGAGUGGCUGAGCUGCCUACACUCUCCAGGCUGCAGCGGAUGGCCACUUCUCUGUGCUCAGUCACAUUUUCGGUCCAGUACACUUUGGAGACACGUACCUUACUUCCUAGAAAAUAAAAUGGCAGUAAAUUAGAGAAUGCAGACUUUCAGAUUUGGAUACCACCUCUGAAAAAUCUAGUUCUCACUGGGAAGAUCUUAUAUUCUUUAGACAUCAGUGCAUUCAUUUUAUUUUUUUUAUUAUUUUUAUUUUUUGAGACAGAGUCUUGCUCUGUCACCCAGGCCAGAGUGCAGUGGCAUGAUCUCAGCUCACUGCAACCACUGCCUCCUGGGUUCAAGCAAUUCUCCUGCCUCAGCCUCCCAAGUGGCUGGGAUUACAGGCGUGUGCCACCAUGCCCAGCUGAUUUUUGUAUUUUUAGUAGAGACGGGGUUUCACCAUGUUGGCCAGAUUGCUCUUGAGCUCCUGGCUUCAAGUGAUCUGCCCACCUCAGCCUCCCAAAGUGUUGGGAUUACAGGCAUGAGCCACCACGUCCAGCCACAUUCAUUUUAAUUCUUGUCCUUGGUCCCUGUUUUUCUCUCACAUUUGCCAGGACAUUCUCUGCUAGGAAUCAAACCAGCCUCUUUCCUUCUUUAGCCCAACUGCUUGCCUGCUGGACCCUGCCAUUGAAAACUACACAGCUUCUGCAGGGCCCUCUGCCUGCUGCUUUUACUUACCCUUGAUUCACUCCUCCUCUACUUCCCAAAGUGGUCAUUCACAACUUUUAGCAGCUCCCUCAAGCCAUGUAUUCCACCAGUACCCCUCAUUCUUAGCAAAUUACUCUCCUCCCAUACACCCAGAUAUUAUCUUGGGUGUAAACGCAGAGAGAGAGGACGCCAUCCAAGAGACUGAACAUUUUGAUGCAAGUGUUAGAAGGCCAUCCAUGGGAGCUAUUUAGAUGAUUGGAUUAGACUGAGUUUUAAAGAGAUUUUGACAUUUACUUUUUUUCCCCUUGCUAACCAGCAGGUGAGGAUUUAGAAUAACAGCCAAAGUAGUUACAAACAAAAUAAAGAAAUUAUAGUGUGCAUUACAUUUUCAAUUCCA